rnacentral:rRNA from 1 species
UUAGAGUUUGAUCCUGGCUCAGAUUGAACGCUGGCGGUAUGCUUAACACAUGCAAGUCGAACGGAAACGAUACUAGCUUGCUAGUAGGCGUCGAGUGGCGGACGGGUGAGUAACGCGUAGGAAUCUGCCUGAUAGUGGGGGAUAGCCCGAAGAAACUCGGAUUAAUACCGCAUAAUCUAUUCGUAGUAAAGUGGGGGACUUUCGAGCCUCACGCUAUCAGAUGAGCCUGCGUAAGAUUAGCUAGUUGGUAGGGUAAAAGCCUACCAAGGCAACGAUCUUUAGCUGGUCUGAGAGGAUGAUCAGCCACAUCGGGACUGAGACACGGCCCGAACUCCUACGGGAGGCAGCAGUGGGGAAUAUUGGACAAUGGGGGCAACCCUGAUCCAGCAAUACCGCGUGUGUGAAGAAGGCCUGAGGGUUGUAAAGCACUUUCAAUUGUGAAGAAAAGCUAACGGUUAAUAACCGUUAGCCUUGACGUUAACUUUAGAAGAAGCACCGGCUAACUCCGUGCCAGCAGCCGCGGUAAUACGGAGGGUGCAAGCGUUAAUCGGAAUUACUGGGCGUAAAGCGUGCGUAGGCGGUUUAUUAAGUCAAAUGUGAAAGCCCCGGGCUUAACCUGGGAACUGCAUUUGAAACUGGUCAACUAGAGUAUGGUAGAGGAAAGUGGAAUUUCUGGUGUAGCGGUGAAAUGCGUAGAUAUCAGAAGGAACAUCAAUGGCGAAGGCAGCUUUCUGGACCAAUACUGACGCUGAGGUACGAAAGCGUGGGUAGCAAACAGGAUUAGAUACCCUGGUAGUCCACGCCGUAAACGAUGAUAACUAGCCGUUGGGGGGAUUUACCCUUUAGUGGCGAAGCUAACGCGUUAAGUUAUCCGCCUGGGGAGUACGGCCGCAAGGCUAAAACUCAAAGGAAUUGACGGGGACCCGCACAAGCGGUGGAGCAUGUGGUUUAAUUCGAUGCAACGCGAAGAACCUUACCUGGUCUUGACAUCCUGCGAACUUUCUAGAAAUAGAUUGGUGCCUUCGGGAACGCAGUGACAGGUGCUGCAUGGCUGUCGUCAGCUCGUGUCGUGAGAUGUUGGGUUAAGUCCCGUAACGAGCGCAACCCCUAUCCUUAUUUGCCAGCACGUCAUGGUGGGAACUAUAAGGAGACUGCCGGUGAUAAACCGGAGGAAGGCGGGGACGACGUCAAGUCAUCAUGGCCCUUACGACCAGGGCUACACACGUGCUACAAUGGGAAGGACAAAGAGCCGCGAAGCCGCGAGGUGUAGCUAAUCUCAGAAACCUUUUCGUAGUCCGGAUUGGAGUCUGCAACUCGACUCCAUGAAGUCGGAAUCGCUAGUAAUCGUAGAUCAGAAUGCUACGGUGAAUACGUUCCCGGGUCUUGUACACACCGCCCGUCAUACCAUGGGAGUGGGUUGCACCAGAAGUGGCUAGUCUGACUUAGUGAGGACGGUCACCACGGUGUGAUUCAUGACUGGGGUAAAGUCGUAACAAGGU